rnacentral:rRNA from 1 species
AUGAACGCUGGCGGCGUGCCUAAUACAUGCAAGUCGAGCGAACGGACGAGAAGCUUGCUUCUCUGAUGUUAGCGGCGGACGGGUGAGUAACACGUGGAUAACCUACCUAUAAGACUGGGAUAACUUCGGGAAACCGGAGCUAAUACCGGAUGAUAUUUUGAACCACCUGGUUCAAAAGUGAAAGACGGUCUUGCUGUCCCUUAUAGAUGGAUCCGCGCUGCAUUAGCUAGUUGGUAAGGUAACGGCUUACCAAGGCAACGAUGCAUAGCCGACCUGAGAGGGUGAUCGGCCACACUGGAACUGAGACACGGUCCAGACUCCUACGGGAGGCAGCAGUAGGGAAUCUUCCGCAAUGGGCGAAAGCCUGACGGAGCAACGCCGCGUGAGUGAUGAAGGUCUUCGGAUCGUAAAACUCUGUUAUUAGGGAAGAACAUAUGUGUAAGUAACUGUGCACAUCUUGACGGUACCUAAUCAGAAAGCCACGGCUAACUACGUG